rnacentral:snRNA from 16 species
AUCGCUUCUCGGCCUUAUGGCUAAGAUCAAAGUGUAGUAUCUGUUCUUAUCAGCUUAAUAUCUGAUACGACCCUCAUUGAGGGUCCAGAAUAUUAAACUGAUUUUUGGAAACGGAUGGAGUGUUAGGGGCUUGCUCCACCUCCGUCACGGGUUGGCUCGGCAUUGCAGUACAGCCGAGAUCGGCCCACCCUUA